rnacentral:rRNA from 1 species
UACAGAGGGGGCAAGCGUUGUUCGGAAUUACUGGGCGUAAAGGGCGCGUAGGCGGCCUGCUAAGUCGAACGUGAAAUCCCUGGGCUCAACCCAGGAACUGCGUCCGAUACUGGUUGGCUUGAAUCCGGGAGAGGGAUGUGGAAUUCCAGGUGUAGCGGUGAAAUGCGUAGAGAUGUGGAGGAACACCAAUGGCGAAGGCAGCCUUCUGGGCCAACACUGACGCUCAUGCACGAAAGCGUGGGGAGCAAACAGG